GAGGGUAUAGCCCAGUGGGAGAGCACAUGUUUAGCAUGCAUGAAGUCCUGGAUUCAAUCCUCAAUACUCUCC
rnacentral:tRNA from 1 species